GACGAACGCUGGCGGCGUGCUUAACACAUGCAAGUCGAACGGAAAGGCCCUGCUUUUGUGGGUUGUCGAGGGGCGAACGGGGGAGUAACACCGGAGUAACCUGGCCUUUGCUUUUGGAUAAAUUCAGGGAAACUGGGCCAAUACCGGGAAAGAACCCCUUCUGGAUGGUGGGGGGUGGGAAAUUUCGGCGGUUGGGGGUGGACUCGCGGCCUAUCAGCUUGUUGGGGGGGGAGUGGCUUACCAAGGCUUUGACGGGUAGCCGGCCUGAGAGGGUGACCGGCCACAUGGGGACUGAGAUACGGCCCAGACUCCUACGGGAGGCAGCAGUGGGGAAUAUUGCACAAUGGGCGGAAGCCUGAUGCAGCAACGCCGCGUGCGGGAUGACGGCCUUCGGGUUGUAAACCGCUUUCGCCUGUGACGAAGCGUGAGUGACGGUAAUGGGUAAAGAAGCACCGGCUAACUACGU
rnacentral:rRNA from 1 species